GAUGAACGCUGGCGGCGUGCUUAACACAUGCCAGUCGAACGAUGAAGCCCAGCUUGCUGGGUGGAUUAGUGGCGAACGGGUGAGUAACACGUGAGUAACCUGCCCUUAACUCUGGGAUAAGCCUGGGAAACUGGGUCUAAUACCGGAUAGGAGCGUCCACCGCAUGGUGGGUGUUGGAAAGAUUUAUCGGUUUUGGAUGGACUCGCGGCCUAUCAGCUUGUUGGUGAGGUAAUGGCUCACCAAGGCGACGACGGGUAGCCGGCCUGAGAGGGUGACCGGCCACACUGGGACUGAGACACGGCCCAGACUCCUACGGGAGGCAGCAGUGGGGAAUAUUGCACAAUGGGCGCAAGCCUGAUGCAGCGACGCCGCGUGAGGGAUGACGGCCUUCGGGUUGUAAACCUCUUUCAGUAGGGAAGAAGCGAAAGUGACGGUACCUGCAGUAGAAGCACCGGCUAACUACGUG
rnacentral:rRNA from 1 species